CAGCCGCACGGUGCAGCUGUACUCGCGCUCCAGGCUCCUGCUGCUGCCGCUCAUCAACCUGCUCAGCAUCUUCCCGCCCGCCCGCCCGGGAGCGACGCGGCGGCGCUGCGGACCCUGGACCAGGCGUCCCUCAGCCCGGCAGCUCCGCACCGACCCCAGGCACCUGCACCAUCACCCCGCGCCCCAGUGCCCGUGCCCAGCUCGCGGGGCGGGGCCUCAACUGGAGGGGGCCAAUGGGGGUCAGCGCGGCGGAACCGAG
rnacentral:lncRNA from 1 species